rnacentral:rRNA from 1 species
CCGAGCUACCUCAGCGGCGAGUUCCCGGGCGACUACGGGUGGGACACCGCGGGGCUCUCCGCUGACCCGGAGACCUUCGCCAAGAACCGCGAGCUCGAGGUGAUCCACUGCCGCUGGGCCAUGCUCGGCGCGCUCGGCUGCGUCUUCCCCGAGCUGCUCGCUCGCAACGGCGUCAAGUUCCGCGAGGCCGUCUGGUUCAAGGCUGGCUCCCAAAUCUUCAGUGAGGGUGGCCUCGACUACCUCGGCAACCCUAGCUUGGUUCAUGCUCAGAGCAUCCUUGCCAUCUGGGCUUGCUAG